rnacentral:rRNA from 1 species
UACGUAGGGUGCGAGCGUUGUCCGGAAUUAUUGGGCGUAAAGAGCUCGUAGGCGGUGUGUCACGUCGGCCGUGAAAACCUGGGGCUUAACUCUGGGCGUGCGGUCGAUACGGGCAUCACUAGAGUUCGGCAGGGGGAGACUGGAAUUCCUGGUGGUAGCGGUGAAAUGCGCAGAUAUCAGGAGGAACACCGGUGGCGAAGGCGGGGUCUCUGGGCCGAUACUGACGCUGGAGGAGCGAAAAGCCAUGGGG